rnacentral:rRNA from 1 species
GACGAACGCUGGCGGCGUGCUUAAUACAUGCAAGUCGAGCGGAGCGGCCACGGGCUUGCGCUUGGGCGGUGUGCGGCGGACGGGUGUGUAACAUGUGGAUAACCUGCUCGUAACUGGGGGAUGACCCCGGGAAUCGGGAGAUUACACCGUGCAACAUGGAAGAGCGCGGGGGCGUUUGGUGAGAGGCUGCUUGUGCUGCCUGUGAUGACUGGGUACGCGGCGCAUGGGCUAGUUGGUGAUGUAACGGCCCACCAAGGCGACGAUGCGUGGCCGGCCUGAGAGGGUGACCGGCCACACUGGGACUGGGACACGGCCCAGACUCCUACGGGAGGCAGCAGUCGGGAAUCUUCCGCAAUGGACGAGAGUCUGACGGAGCGAGGCCGCGUGAGCGAAGAAGGUCUUCGGAUCGUAAAGCUCUGUUGUUGGGGAAGAAGAAGCGUCGUUCGAACAGGGCGGCGCGGUGACGGUACCUAACGAGAAAGCCCCGGCUAACUACGUG